CCUACGGGGGGCAGCAGUGGGGAAUAUUGGACAAUGGGGGGAACCCUGAUCCAGCCAUGCCGCGUGUGUGAAGAAGGCCCUCGGGUUGUAAAGCACUUUCAGUGAGGAAGAACGCCUGGUGGUUAAUACCCAUCAGGAAAGACAUCACUCACAGAAGAAGCACCGGCUAACUCCGUGCCAGCAGCCGCGGUAAUACGGAGGGUGCGAGCGUUAAUCGGAAUUACUGGGCGUAAAGCGCGCGUAGGUGGCUUGAUAAGCCGGUUGUGAAAGCCCCGGGCUCAACCUGGGAACGGCAUCCGGAACUGUCCAGCUAGAGUGCAGGAGAGGAAGGUAGAAUUCCCGGUGUAGCGGUGAAAUGCGUAGAGAUCGGGAGGAAUACCAGUGGCGAAGGCGGCCUUCUGGACUGACACUGACACUGAGGUGCGAAAGCGUGGGUAGCAAACAGGAUUAGAUACCCCAGUAGUC
rnacentral:rRNA from 1 species